GUCUCCGUGUGUCCGCCAUAUUGGUGCCCGCGCCGCAGCCACUGCGCGUUGUUCCUCCAUCUCCUGCCGUUGCGGCCGAGCGGGAGAAGGGACGGGACGGGACGUCGGCGCCGCUGCCGGGCGGGAAGCGGGGCGAGGAGGCUGCGCGCUGCCGGGAGGAGACGGAAACGAGCGGGCCCCGCAUCCCUCCGCGGCCGCCCCCUGCGCCACCCGCCAUGGCGAGGAGGCCCGGCGGCCCCUGAGCGAGGCGCACACGCACAAACAGACCGAGACUAGCCAUCCUCUGGGCCGCGGCCCGUCCCGGCCGCUAUCAGCUGAGAGAAGCCGCCCGGCUCCCGCCUCCACCACGACAUGGAGGCCGUGAAAGCUUUUAACAGCGAGUUGUACUCACUAAAUGAUUAUAAGCCACCCAUUUCUAAAGCUAAAAUGACACAGAUCACCAAGGCAGCAAUCAAGGCUAUAAAGUUCUACAAGCACGUUGUACAGAGUGUUGAGAAAUUCAUUCAAAAGUGCAAACCGGAAUACAAGGUACCUGGUCUGUAUGUCAUUGACUCCAUUGUGAGACAGUCCCGGCAUCAGUUUGGACAAGAAAAGGAUGUAUUUGCUCCAAGGUUCAGUAAUAACAUCAUCAGCACUUUCCAGAACUUGUACCGUUGUCCUGGGGAUGAUAAGAGUAAAAUUGUUAGAGUGCUGAAUUUAUGGCAGAAGAAUAAUGUGUUCAAGAGUGAAAUUAUUCAGCCUCUUUUGGAUAUGGCAGCAGGAAUUCCUCCUCCAGUUGUGACCCCUGUCUUGCCCAGCACUACAGCUGCUAUGAGUAACAAUACACCAGGAACACCUGUGACUCCAGUUACUCCAGCCAAUGUAGUGCAAAGUUUACCUGAUCCUUGGGUGUCUCAGAUUGCUAAUACAGAUACCCUUGCUGCUGUUGCACAAAUUUUACAGAGUCCUCAAGGCCAACAGCUUCAGCAGUUGAUACAGACGCUGCAGAUACAGCAGCAGAAACCGCAGCCUUCACUACUGCAAGCUCUGGAUGCUGGUCUUGUUGUUCAGUUGCAGGCCCUCACAGCACAACUUACAGCUGCAGCUGCUGCUGCUAACACACUUAAUCCACUGGAACAAAGUGUCUCUUUUAAUAAGAAGCUGAUGGACAGGUUUGACUUUGGGGAAGAAUCUGAACAAAAUGAAGAGCCUAAAAAAGAAGCUCCCACUUCACAACUGCCUUUAGUACCAGAAUCUGUGAAUAGCUCCCUUUUUCACCAACUAGCUGAACAGCUACAGCAACAAAAUCUAGAACACCUUAGACAACAGCUUCUGGAGCAACAGCAGCCUCAAAAGGCAAGCCCUGAGCAGAAUCAAGAAGGAAAUUUUGGUUCAGAGCACUCUGCAUCACCAUCACAAGGGAGUAGUCAGCAGCAGUUUUUAGAAGUGGAAACAAAUGUAGAUGAUUCAAUGGAUAUUCAACAACAGGACAUGGAUAUAGAUGAAGGACAGGAUGUUGCUGAAGAAGAGAUUUUUGAACAAGAAGAAAAGAAAUCAGCUGUUCGUUCAAGAUCAAGAACUCGCUCAAGAUCUCGUUCAAGGUCACCAAGAAAACGAAGGUCAAGAUCACGGUCUGGUUCUCGUAAGCGUAAACACAGAAAACGUUCACGCUCAAGAUCAAGAGAAAGGAAGAGAAAGUCAUCUCGGUCAUAUUCCAGUGAGAGAAGGGCUAGGGAAAGGGAAAAAGAACGUCAGAAAAAGGGUUUGCCUCCUAUACGGUCAAAAACACUAAGUGUUUGCAGUACCACUCUUUGGGUAGGUCAAGUAGACAAGAAGGCUACACAGCAAGAUUUAACUAACUUAUUUGAAGAAUUUGGACAAAUAGAGUCAAUUAAUAUGAUUCCCCCAAGAGGGUGUGCUUAUGUCUGUAUGGUUCAUAGACAAGAUGCGUAUCGUGCUCUUCAGAAACUUAGUUCUGGGUCCUAUAAAAUUGGAUCUAAAAUUAUUAAGAUUGCCUGGGCUUUGAAUAAAGGUGUGAAAACAGAAUACAAGCAAUUCUGGGAUGUGGAUCUAGGAGUUUCAUAUAUUCCUUGGGAGAAAGUAAAAUUAGAUGAUUUGGAGGGCUUUGCUGAAGGUGGCAUGAUUGAUCAGGAAACAGUAAAUACAGAAUGGGAAACAGCCAGAAGCUCAGAAGCUGCUAAAGAAAAUACUCAAACUACACAGAGUGCUGCAGUUGAUAAGAAUACAGUUAUUACAACACAGACAGAAGCUUACACGCAACCAGUCACUAUGCUGCAGAUUCCAGUAGCUCCAGCUGUGCCUGCUGUUAGCUUGGUUCCACCUGCUUUUCCUGUCACAAUGUCUGUCCCUCCUCCUGGUUAUAGCGCAAUUCCUCCUCCACCCUUCUUGCGUGCAAGUUUCAACCCUUCACAGCCACCUCCAGGUUAUAUGCCUCCCCCAGUUCCACCUGUGGUUCCACCGCCUGUUGUCCCACCACCUGUUGUUCCACCAGUUGUUCCAACACCUUUGGUACAGCCUCCGUUACCAAUUGCACAAGAGACGAUGAAGGAUGUUCCUUUUACUAGCCUUGUUCUACCAGUUGGCACAGUUACUAGCAAUCUAGCUACUCCAACGUUAUCUGCUGGAAAUGUUUUUAAUCCUCUGCCAAUCAACAAACCAGAAUCAGAUGAAAAGGGAUCACAUCUUGCAGACCUUCAGAUUUCUUCCAGUGAAAACAAUAGAUCUGUGCAAAAUGAUGUUUCGAGUAGCUCCGGACUUGUUGGAGGAGUGCAGCCAUGUAGUGUCUCAAGCAGUUCUGGCCUUACUGGAGAAGGGCAACCACCCAGCGUCUCAAGUAGCUCUGGACUUGCAGGAGGAGUACAGCCACCCAGUGUUUCAAGCAGCUCUGGACUUGUAGGAGGAGUGCAACCAUCACCUGUUUCAAGCAGUUCUGGUCUUGCAGGAGGAGUGCAGCUGCCAGCUGUCUCCAGUAGCUCUUCUCUUGCCGGCGGAGUUCAGCCAACCAGCGUCUCAAGUAGCUCUGGACUUAUGGCUGGAGUGCAACCACCAAAUGUCUCAAGUAGCUCAGGGCUUAUAGCAGGAGUGCAUCCACCCACUGUCUCAAGCAGCCCUGGCCUUUUGACAGGAAUGCAGCCACCCAGUGUCUCAAGCAGCUCAGGAGUUCUGGCAGGAGUACAGCCACCUAGUGUCUCUAGCAACUCUGGGCUUCUCAUAAUGCCACCGCCCAAUGUUUCAAGUAGUUCUGGACCGAUGGGUGUGCCACCACCAAAUAUUUCAAAUAGUUCUGGACUUCUGGCAAUGCAACAUCCAGCUGGGGUUCCAAAUAUGCCUCAUUUAAAUAUUAGUAGUCAAAGGAUGCCAGGAAUACCUCUUAUAGAUAUCCGUCCAGGCCUAAUGCCUCAUUCAGCUGGACCAAGGUUUCCAUUAAUGCAGCCAGGAAUGCCACCACAGCGUAGUAUUCCUCCUCCAGCAAUUCUUGAUCCAUCUCUUCACCCGCCACCUCGAGGUCCUUUUCCUCCAGGAGAUAUUUUUACUCAAACAGAAAGACCUUUUGGAACACCAGGAAGACAAAAUAUCGACAACAUUUCUAAUCCAGAGAAAAGACUACCACUUGGAGGUGAUAACAUUCAGCAGGAAGGAGACAGAGAUUAUCGCUUUCCUCCAGUGGAAAACAGAGAUAAUCUUAACAGGCCUUCUCCAGUGGAUGUCAGAGAUUCUGUUGGGCGACCACCAGUUGAUCCAAGAGAGAGUGUAGGAAGGCCUCCACUAGAUGGAAGAGAACACUUUGCAAGACCACAUGUAGACAUGAGAGAAAAUUUUGGAAGGCCAGGUAUUGAUAACCUUGGUCGAAGAGAGCAUUUUGGUUUCAAUUCAGACAAGCACUGGGGACAGAGAGGAGAUUAUGAUGAAAGAGAGCACCACGCCUUCCCUAUUUAUGGUGGCCCUAAAGGCUUCCAUGAAGACAGAGAGAGGUUUCGGCAUGUAAACUAUAGAUUUGAUAGUAGAAGUGGUCCCAAUUGGAAUAGAGGAUUUGAACAGGAUGCUCACAGAGAUUUUGAUGACCGCAGAAGACCCUGGGAAAGACAGAGGGAUAGGGAUGACAGAGAUUUUAAUUUUUGCAGAGAAGUUAAUGGGAACAGGUUUGGAAGAGACAGAAUGUCAAACAACUGGAUCCCCCCUCCACAUCCACGGGUUUUUGAAUAUUUUGAUGGGGCCACUUCCCAGCGCAAAGUUGAAAAUCUGCCCCAGGUAAAUGGUGAAAAUACAGAGACAGAAAGUCAGCCACCAAAUGCACAGGUGCAGGAUGAUCCUGAACUUUAUGAAAAACUGACAUCUUCCGUCGAGAUAAACAAAGAGAAGAGUGACACAGAAGCUGAUACAGAGAGUGAACCAGUGGUAGAAAGCACAGAAACUGAGGGGACAUAAUCAUCACUCAGUAGGUAAAAGAUACCUUUUGUAAAGUUGUCAUCUCUCUGUAAUAGAUAAAUGGCUGACUGGACCGUAGCAGUUCACUUUUGUCUGCCAGACUUAAGUUAAUCUGAUGUUCAUGUUCAUCUUUCACUUAAAUAACUGUACAACUGACUUGUAUAGAACACUGUUCUUAAUUUGAACAUAGUAGGUAAACUUUUUUUUUUUUAAUUAUUUCUCUGGUAAAGCAUAAACUUGCCCCCACUUGCUUUUAAUUUCACAAAGAUAAAAUAACAGCUUGUCAAACAAAGACUUCCUAUGGAAGAAAAUGGAAUUUUUUAGAUACUACCCUUAGGUUGGCUAUUGAAAUUGUUAUACUUGAAAACAGGUGCUGGUGUGUCUUGUCCGUGUUUUUAGGCUGCUGCAGAAUUUUAAAGUAUAGACAAAGCUGGGAUAUUUUAUGUUCCUACAAUUCGGCAGAAAAAGGAAUGGCCCAUGUUAUUAAAGGAGCAUAAUACAGAGAUUAAAAGUGAUUUUGUAAAAUCGACACUAUAGUCUCUGUUUUCUCUAAAGUAAGUGUUUGUGAUUUGUUCCUCGUACUGCAGUGGGUUUAAAAAAAAAAAUAUGAAAAAGUACAUUUUAAUGUUGGGUGCAUUUUGUUUUUAGAUGCCAAUAAAGCAUAUUUGUUUGAUAACAGUGUUCUAGGUAUUGUAUUUUUUUAAAAAACUGCAAGCUCUAAAAACUUGGAAUCAGCUAUGAUAUGUUCUUAGUUGUUGCAAAAGGUUUAUAUUACUUCUGUAAGACCAAUGCAACAGUUAUAUGUUCAAGAAGCCUAUGGUUUUUACAUUGAAAAUCAUGCAGUGAUAUUAGUUUAUGUAAAUAAUAUGUAUGUAAAUAUUUGUGUAAACUGUUUGUAGAUACCACUUUUUCUGUGUGUGCCUGUGUAUGUGCAUGCACUCACAGAAUAUUGUAGACAGUUCAAUAAAACUGAAAUCAAACUAGGGUAUAAAAAUUUGCCUUUCACCUUCUAUAGGUAGUGAGAUAACAAAACUUCCUUCACUACAGUACUCUCAAGCUUAUAUUUACUUUCUCAUGCUCAUUGUUACAGUGUUCUUAUUACUUCUAGAAGGUGGAACAUGAUAUACUGUAAGAGUAUACAGUAGGAUUUUAGCUUACUUUUUAAAAUGCAGAUAUGCAUGAAGCCAAAACUAAAGCAAAUAUUGCAUUGUCUUAUUUUGUAACAAAUUUGGUAUUCUGGAUAGCUAGUGGUAGCAUUCAAGUACUUUGUGGUUAUUUCUUUUUAGUGACUCAAACUCCAGAAAUGUUGCACGAAAAGUAAAAAGCUGUUGUUGGUCUUAAAAAAAACCUACAUUUUUUUUUUUAACAGAAAUAAGGGGGGGCUUUGUCUUUUGAUGGUUUAAUCUUGAAGUAGAACCUCUUACUAAAUCUUUGAGAUGAAUUGGCUGCUUAGGAAAUUAGUAGUUCUGUUCUCUCCUGUUUCACCUACUUUGCUGCUUGUGUAUUCUCUAAAUUGGUGGUGAAAGAUGUUGUCUAUAGGGUGAUGUCAGAUUUUGAGUUUGUUCCACUCAAGUGCGUUUCACCAACUUAGUUCAACAUAGCAUUUGUUAAAAUACGUGUCUGAAAGCAUCUUUUCACUCAGUUUUGAGAAGGUUGUUUUUUCUCUUGCAUAAUAAGAUCCAAGGGUAGAUUCUGUUACAUUAAUGCCCCUUUGGUAGAAGAAACAGUUUUAUCUCAGAUUAGAAUUUUGAUCUUUAACAUUAAAGCAUUAACAUGCAAGUUUUAAUUCCCCUUCUGCUUCCCCCAAAGGGAUGAAAGUAUGAGAAUGUCACGUGUCAUAAGCAUGCCUUUGAACAUAGAAGCAAGUUACGCAUGCCUGUGUUGUCCUCUUCCUCUGGGAGUGAAGAUGGCUUUUCUUCCCCGGAUUUUGCUUCUAUUUUCUUAAAUGUCUUUCCUGAGCCGUGGUUGCUUGCUGCUGUGAAACCAGCAGAGGGUGCACAGAACAUACAUAUUCGUGGCUGUUUCUUCACAGUCCACUGUGGUGCUGACAUGUGGAAACCAGGCAAGAUGAAGGAGGUUCUGGCAGCUUACCAGGUCCGGGGCUCUGCAGAGUUAAGUGAGAAGUGCGCCCAUGUUCUAGCAUGCAUCACAUCGCAUCUUGGGUCUGAAGUGCCAGAAGGAUCCCAGCGCUGCAGACUGAGACGGCUCUGAGCACCUCAGUACCCCGUUUCUGACAGAACCCAGGGAUGGCAAACGUACAUAUCAGUAUUACCUGUCUGGGGCAGGUUUAAUUUUAUAAAUUAAACCCAUAAACUCUGUGAGUUUCUAGACCAUAUUUCUGCUAUUGAGGAUGAUCUGCUCAGAUGAACAGUUUUGCAUCCAUCGGAGGGACAGGUUCUUCUGCUGGACCAGAAGAUGACAGUGGGCUCUAUCUUGUAACUAAUACCAUUUGUAGCAUCUUCUAGUGCAAAUAAUUGAAGAACAGGUUACAAGAAAAUCCUGUAGGGAAUAAGACAUGCUUUGUUUUAAUCUACAGAUUUUAAGAAAUGUUUUGUUUUUUUAAAGAGAACCACUUUUACAGAACACUAAGUGUGCAGUCUAUGUGCAGCUCUUCACUGUGGCUAUCUGUAUUCCAGAGAUGAUGAAUUCCCUGUGAGACACCUGAACCUUUUCAGAUUUGUGAUGAAUCCUUAAAUUAUGAGAGUACAAGAAAAACUGGGCGGGAAAAGUCCCAGGGCUUUUAUUAGACUAGAUGUCUACAAUUACUUCCUGCUGGUGUCCUGAAAGUAGGAGGAGAGGACAGGAAGUAGGAAUGAAAUACAAAAAAAUUACAAUGCAUUUCUUUUUUUGCAUAUGCAUCUAUCUGAAUGUGUGUUUGAUCUAAUAGCCAAGGGGAAAGAAACAGCUAAGUUAGCUGAGACCUCACAUGAAAGGUCUGCAUUUUUGGGCAGUAUUUGCUAAUUUUGUCUCUUGAAUAGCUAUAGGAAAGAAAGAAUAUGUAUAUGCCCCACCAUAUGUGAAAAGUACAUCCUUGCCAUUCCUUUAUUUAUUUUUGCUCUUUUAAAAAUUAAAGUGCCAGUUACUUGGAAUGCUGUAGUCUGUGGUCUCUUUACAUUUGUUUAGUGAGAUCCUUUCAGCAAGAUCAUACCCAUUAUAGUGUAACUGCAUGGUGACCACAGCUUUGGGCCUGUAUAAUAAAGAUCUAAAUUCAAAA